rnacentral:rRNA from 1 species
CACUCCUACGGGAGGCAGCAGUGGGGAAUAUUGGACAAUGGGCGCAAGCCUGAUCCAGCCAUGCCGCGUGAGUGAUGAAGGCCCUAGGGUUGUAAAGCUCUUUCACCGGUGAAGAUAAUGACGGUAACCGGAGAAGAAGCCCCGGCUAACUUCGUGCCAGCAGCCGCGGUAAUACGAAGGGGGCUAGCGUUGUUCGGAUUUACUGGGCGUAAAGCGCACGUAGGCGGACUAUUAAGUCAGGGGUGAAAUCCCGGGGCUCAACCCCGGAACUGCCUUUGAUACUGGUAGUCUUGAGUUCGAGAGAGGUGAGUGGAAUUCCGAGUGUAGAGGUGAAAUUCGUAGAUAUUCGGAGGAACACCAGUGGCGAAGGCGGCUCACUGGCUCGAUACUGACGCUGAGGGGCGAAAGCGUGGGGAGCAAACAGGAUUAGAAACCCGAGUAGUCCCAUGAU